rnacentral:lncRNA from 1 species
AGAGAGAGAGAGUAAAAAGAUUAACUAGGGCUAUUUUAGUCAUUUUGGUCGAGAUUGAUGUCAUUUUAAAAGUUUAGGUAUAAAACUGAUUCAAAAAAAAGAUGAGGUAUCAGACUGAUUUUAGACCUAAAGUUCAGGGUAGUAAACUGAAAUUUUUCCUAUGAGUAAUUAUCUCAAUUACAACAAAAUUUACCUAAAGUAAGGUAUUAGUUACAAGAUAAAGGACUUUAUUAAACAAACAACUUAUUUACCAUAGGUGCAUUAGUUUUACUACUAUUAUGACAAUUUGUUGUCAGAUUGGUAAAAUGGUUAUCGAACUUGUAAUUGAAAAAAUUACUACAAAUACAAGUUUGAUUACUACUUUUUUCAUAAUUUGUCGACUUACGAAUCAAAUGGUACUCAUACAAAGAAUUACCACAAAAUGGAUCCUGAUUACUACUUUCCACCUUAGUUGUUGAUAAACUAUGUAGAAACGUAGUCACAUAAUUCAAAACUCCUUGGAGGACAAUAAUUACAAUAUAAUGAUCCCAACUACACCAUAUAAAGGACUCAACGAUUACUCAUAUUAUUAACAGUUUACUAGUAUAACAACACAUUCGUUGUUUUAUUGGUGUACAUGUUCUCUAAACUUAUAAUGAUGAAGUUUGAACACUUUUACCAUGAUACAUUAUCUCGAACCGUAUCGACUUUUUUUUUCUUUUAUUUAAGAUAGUCGAAUCGGUAAUCUUCAAUCGUUACAGUGAAGUUUGACACUAUCAUGAACUGAUUGAACGCUUCAUUUACUUUAUGCGUGUAUCUGAGCACAACCCCCUCCUAUAUAUGCCCUUUGUGUAGGUACAAAUUCUUGUAGGCAACAUCAAGGUACUCCUGGUUUGAUUUUUCAAGUUGAAGAACACUCUUCAUGAUCUCAUAGAAGAAUAAUGGAACAAAUAUUUGGAGACACGACUGGUGAAUCAACACCUUUAGGGGUCGUUUUCAUAUUUUGGACAUAACCCACUUGAGCGAGUUCAGAGCAGAUGCCCAUCCAUCCGCAACUGCUGAAGUAUAAUGAUUAUAUAUAUACAAGGCCAUUCUAUUGAGGGAUCCCUAUUUUUGGCCACUUUUAGGGAUAGGCUCACACCAUUGGAUCUGUCAUUUAAUGAGGUUGGAUGGCUGAGAUUAAAACAAAAAGUUACACACUUUAUAUCAAACCUGGACCGUUCAAGAUCAUUAAAAAUAAAUCGAAGUUUUGAAUGGGUUAACGAUCACUAAAUUAUCUGAAAAUU